UAAGAUAUACCCCCAAGAUUCCCCUCCUCGGGUGUGUGUGCCCUUCAUAACACCUCGUCCUUGAGUGCAGGUGGGCCUGCGUUAAUUAGGCGAGCCCUUGUGAGAGAGGUCUAAAGAUAGAAGACAUGAAAGAGAUUCAGAGCUGCAGAAGAUGCUCUCCUGUUGUUCUGCAAGGGGCAGACUGCCAUAUGUGAGAGGCUCUAUGGAGAGGCCACACAGGAAGCAAGGACCUGCAUGCAGCCUCCAGGAGCUGAGAGCGGUCCCUGGCCAAAAGCUGGCAAGGAAUUGGAGACCUCAGUCCUACUGCCAUAAGGACAUGCAUCCUGCCAACAACCAGGGAUCUUGGAAUGAGAACAUAAGCCUCAGAUGAGAUGGCAGUCCCAGGUGACACCUUGAUUUCAGCCUGAGAGUUGAAAUUAAUUCUGACACAGGAAGCAAAAGUGGAAGUGAGAAACUAAUAAAGAGAUGACUGCAGUAUUCCAUGUGAGAGAUGAAGUUGAUGUGGACCAGGGCAAAUGGUGGAAGUGCUGGGAGGUGUAAGAUACCAAAUAUACUUUGAAGGGCAUUCUGCAAGUGAUUACGUGACACUGAUUACAUGAACGGUUUCCAAUCAUGGCCCCAGUUUUGGAGUCUGCCACCGGGAGUUAAUGAAAUCAGAUUAAUUUGUAAGUCUGGAGUCUCAGAGAGCUAAAACUUAUGAGCAGAAAAAAAGAAUUGGGAGCUGACUGUGGUUUCCCGCAGUAGUGUCCUUGCUAAAUAAAUGCUAGCCUCGUCCAUUUUUCUUCA
rnacentral:lncRNA from 1 species